rnacentral:rRNA from 1 species
GACAUAGGUGGCGAACGUUAUCCGGAAUUAUUGGGCGUAAAGGAUGCGUAGAUGGCGAGAGAUAUGUACUGGUUGAUGUCAAAACUCAAUUUGACGGAAGCUGGUAAUACUGUUUUUGCUAGAGGACAGGAGAGGUUGAUGGAAUUCUGUGUGGAGCGGUGAAAUGCGUUGAUCUACAGAGGAACACCAAAAAAAGGCGAAGGCAGUCAACUAUCCUGUUCCUGACAUUUCGAGGCAU